AUUGAACGCUGGCGGCAUGCUUUACACGUGCAAGUCGAACGGUAACAGGCCGCAAGGUGCUGACGAGUGGCGAACGGGUGAGUAAUGCAUCGGAACGUGCCCAGUCGUGGGGGAUAACUACUCGAAAGAGUAGCUAAUACCGCAUACGAUCUAUGGAUGAAAGCGGGGGACCGUAAGGCCUCGCGCGAUUGGAGCGGCCGAUUUCAGAUUAGGUAGUUGGUGGGGUAAAGGCUCACCAAGCCAACGAUCUGUAACUGGUCUGAGAGGACGACCAGCCACACUGGGACUGAGACACGGCCCAGACUCCUACGGGAGGCAGCAGUGGGGAAUUUUGGACAAUGGGCGCAAGCCUGAUCCAGCAAUGCCGCGUGCAGGAAGAAGGCCUUCGGGUUGUAAACUGCUUUUGUACGGAACGAAACGGCUCUGGUUAAUACCCGGGGCUAAUGACGGUACCGUAAGAAUAAGCACCGGCUAACUACGUG
rnacentral:rRNA from 1 species